GGAAUUUUGCGCAAUGGACGAAAGUCUGACGCAGCAACGCCGCGUGAGGGAUGAAGGCCUUCGGGUUGUAAACCUCUUUUCUCAGGGACGAUAAUGACGGUACCUGAGGAAUAAGCCACGGCUAACUACGUGCCAGCAGCCGCGGUACUACGUAGGUGGCGAGCGUUGUCCGGAUUUCCUGGGCGUAAAGAGCGCGCCGGCGGUCGUGCAAGUCGCGUGUGAAAGCCCCCGGCUUAACUGGGGAGGGUCACGCGAUACUGUUCGACUCGAAGGCAGGAGAGGGAAGUGGAAUUCCCGGUGUAGUGGUGAAAUGCGUAGAUAUCGGGAGGAACACCAGUGGCGAAGGCGACUUCCUGGCCUGUUCUUGACGCUGAGGCGCGAAAGCUAGGGUAGCAAAC
rnacentral:rRNA from 1 species